GUUAGAAUUUAUACACAUUAUGCUGAGAGUGCUAUGCAGGAAAAGCAUGAACAGACUUUACUGCCAGCUGGGUGUGAUGAACAGAGAGCCCAGUUGCUGAACACUGGAUCUUGGCAAUUACUCACACAGAGGAAUUCCUACUCAGGUGCCAAUCAGGUGCAUAUUUCUGUUCUUUUCCUCCCUGCCAAGUGAGGCCUUUUUUGAGUUUAUAAGACCCCUUUCUUCUAUUUGCUGGGUGCAUAUUUCUGUUCUUUCCCCACCCUGCCAAGUGAGGUUUUUUGAGUUUAUAAGACCC